UCGCCCACAAUGCCCUCAACGGUUUCAACACGGAUGUGGCCGGGUGCGUGGUGUGAGCGGAUACGAUGCACUUGCCGAUCGGCGCUUGCCGAAGCCCUGUGAAGGGGCAUCCCUGUUGGGGCCGUAGUCGACGCAGGGUCGUCGUGAUAACCGUCCCAUCUUUGGUCUCCUCGCGCUAACCCCGUAGCGUGUGGUUUUUAGCGGGCUCCAGGCCCGCUUUUUUU
rnacentral:ncRNA from 19 species